GGUGUAGAAUGGGGGUUGACCUCCGAGCGGUUAGAGGUGGCACCACAAAGCCACUUCCACACCCUGGAAUCUACCUUGACAGCCAACCUUGGCGCUAGAAAAGGCGCAGAUGCGUGGUCGCAAACUGAUUUCCAAGUCCGUUGUCUGAUGCUGCGAGACACUAUCCGUUUGUUACAGCGAACUGGGGGCCGAUGACGCUGGAGGUGGAAGAAGCCACGGUUCUGUUUCUUAACGGCGAAUUAGCCUGCGGACUUCCUGUCAUUCCCUUGCCUUUCAGCGUCCCAACUUAGCAAAACUCCGCGUUGAGGGUGUUCUGAGUAGGUUUUGUCUACCCUGAAACGCUUUGUGUCGACAUUCCACCAGGUCUGUUCCACGGUCCAAACUUCUCUACCUUUUUGGACCCUCUAGAAUUGUGUUACGAUUAGUAGUAUAUUGUGUCGAGAGUCUGGGAUCUUUGAUGUUAGUUAUAUUCCCUGGCUGUUUAUGCCAAAGGGAAAUCCAAAUAGUAAUUUAUUACGUACAUUACGUAUAAUUCAAAUUAAAAUUUUGUAAGAACGGUUGCCAGCCACGCUACCCUACAUGCCUGCUGUGUAUCUUCUCGGCGUCCCUCAAUUCUGUUUUGCUUCCCGAAGUACUUGAGCCCUUUCCGUCAUAAAAAGUAAAGAUGAAAAAUAUA